AUUGAACGCUGGCGGCAGGCUUAACACAUGCAAGUCGAGCGGGGUGAUGGUGCUUGCACUAUCACUUAGCGGCGGACGGGUGAGUAAUGCUUAGGAAUCUGCCUAUUAGUGGGGGACAACAUCUCGAAAGGGAUGCUAAUACCGCAUACGUCCUACGGGAGAAAGCAGGGGAUCACUUGUGACCUUGCGCUAAUAGAUGCGCCUAAGUCGGAUUAGCUAGUUGGUGGGGUAAAGGCCUACCAAGGCGACGAUGGGGAGCCGGCCUGGGAGGGUGUACGGCCACACUGGCACUGAGACACGGGCCAGACUCCUACGGGAGGCAGCAGUGGGGAAUUUUGCGCAAUGGGGGAAACCCUGACGCAGCAACGCCGCGUGAGUGAUGAAGGCCUUCGGGUUGUAAAGCUCUUUUAGUGGGGAAGAAGCCCGCCCUGGCUAAUAUCCAGGGAGGAUGACGGUACCCACAGAAAAAGUUCCGGCUAACUACGUGCCAGCAGCCGCCGUAA
rnacentral:rRNA from 1 species